GGUGAACGCUGGCGGCGUGCUUAAGACAUGCAAGUCGAACGGCAGUCUUCGGACUGUAGUGGCGCACGGGUGAGUAACGCGUAACUGACCUACCCCAUAGUCGCGGAUAACGAUUCGAAAGAAUCGCUAAUACGCGAUGUGCUGUCAGAUUGUGUUCUGCGAGUAAAGAGUGAUUGCUUUGGGAUGGGGUUGCGUUCCAGCAGCUAGUUGGUGGGGUAAAGGCCCACCAAGGCGACGACGGAUAGCCGGCCUGAGAGGGUGGCCGGCCACAGGGGCACUGAGACACGGGUCCCACUCCUACGGGAGGCAGCAGUUAGGAAUCUCCCACAAUGGGCGAAAGCCUGAUGGAGCGACGCCGCGUGAGGGAUGAAGGUCUUCGGAUCGUAAACCUCUGAAUCAGGGACGAAAGACACUUCGGUGGGAUGACGGUACCUGAGUAAUAGCACCGGCUAACUCCGUGCCAGCCGCCGCGGUAAGAC
rnacentral:rRNA from 1 species